CCGCCCGUCACAUCAUGGGAGUUGGUUUUGCCUUAAGUCGUUGACUCAACCUGCAAAGGAGAGAGGCGCCCAAGGUGAGGCUGAUGACUGGGAUGAAGUCGUAACAAGGUAGCCCUACCGGAAGGUGGGGCUGGAUCACCUCCUUUU
rnacentral:rRNA from 1 species